CAAGUUUAAAAAUACUUAUUUGUUUUUCUGUUAAAAUUCCACCAAAAUCCUGAUUUUUGUGUAAAUAUCUGUUUUUAUGUUCCAUUUAUUUCAUAUUUGUACUGGGGGAUCUUUUAUUUUAGAGUGUUGGUUUACUGUGUACUGUCCCUUUAAGAGACUCAGCUCUAUUUGGCGCCAUCGGCGUACUGAUCUCAGUCUGUGUAUAACUAACAGAGAGAAGGUACGUAGUUCUGAUGUCUGUGCUUAAAACACAUAUUUUUCUGUUAAAACAGCAUAAUAUGGGCAGUAAGUAGUGUUAAAAGCUAGAAACAGGAUUGUGAACGUGUAAAUAUGCAGUAGUUUUAAGGUGAACUUUAUAAAAUGUCUUUUAUGUCGAGUUUUACUGACACACGUGCUCUGUGGCUUCACGCCCCCCCCCCCCCCGUGUGCAUUUCUGCUAACAGAGAGAAGGAGGCUGAUAACCUGCAUGUAUAUGAGAGAGAGAGCAGCGUGUAUGUUCACUGCAGAGCUGUAUGUUCAAUCCAGAGCUUUAUGAGCUUAUUUAUCUGUUUAUACAGGUAUGUUUCCCCCCCCCAGUCACUUUCAUUUACUGUUUAAGCAUAUAUCUGUUAAUUCGUUGUGUUUUUGCUAAUUUUAUUUAAAUGCAGAGCUGGUUUUAGCUAAUUUUAUUAUUUUUAUUUUAUUUUCAUAUAUUGCUAACUCAUAUGUAAGGUUGCCUAUAUAUUCAGAGUAUCUCAGUCUGUGUAUAACUAACAGAGAGAAGAGAGAAGGAGGCUGAUAACCUGCAUGUAUAUGAGAGAGAGAGCAGCGUGUAUGUUCACUGCAGAGCUGUAUGUUCAAUCCAGAGCUUUAUGAGCUUAUUUAUCUGUUUAUACAGACCAGCAAAAUUAAAGCAUCCAAACCAGCAGUGGCCGUGGUCCGAGUCCUUCCUCACCGUGUCACAGAACACAACGCAGAGUAUCCAUGGGUUAACGGGAGUGUGAAUGGACAGUUCUGACCAUCUCACAGUUCCAAUACACACCCGUUACAAUGGUGCCGUGACGCCUUUGGGAGGAGAAGAUCGACGUCAGCUCGUUCGCCGUGGGAAGCUGCAGUUGCAUGUGUUUCUGGUCAAGAGAGAAGGAGGCUGAUAACCUGCAUGUAUAUGAGAGAGAGAGCAGCGUGUAUGUUCACUGCAGAGCUGUAUGUUCAAUCCAGAGCUUUAUGAGCUUAUUUAUCUGUUUAUACAGACCAGCAAAAUUAAAGCAUCCAAACCAGCA